rnacentral:tRNA from 1 species
UGGGGAUAUAGCUCAGUUGGUAGAGUGCUUGCUUUGCAUGCAUAAGGCCCUGGGUUCGAUCCCCAGCAA